AUGAACUUUCCAUUUUCUUAAAUAUAAUUUUAUAGAGCGAUAAAUUAAAACCCAGCGAAAAAAUGAUCAAGUUUCCAACUGUACUGGUAUUAGUAGUAAUACUCGCUCUUGUCAUGAGCACCAUAAAUGCACUGAUUGUGCAAUGCAGUACUACUGAUGAUUGUAUCCAGCAAUGUAAAAACUCUGGUUACAAUGGAAUCGAUAAUUCUGACUGUGAUUUGAAUUUUGAUUUAGGAUUAUAUUCAUGUCCUUGUGCAUAGAAUAAGCAGCCUAUAAAAUAGUUACCUACUGGCAAAUAACAUUUUUUGCAAAAUAUCAUAUUUCAUUAUGUAUACUUUGGGAGCGAUAGAAUUUGCAAUAUAUUUCUUAUGAACA
rnacentral:lncRNA from 1 species